rfam:Candidatus Moranbacteria bacterium RIFCSPLOWO2_12_FTLL_48_12 rifcsplowo2_12_scaffold_15224, whole genome shotgun sequence.
GGAGAGGUGCCUGAGCGGCUUAAAGGAGCACACUGCUAAUGUGUUGACCGGGAAACUGGUCCCAGGGUUCGAAUCCCUGCCUCUCCG